rnacentral:rRNA from 1 species
GACGAACGCUGGCGGCGUGCCUAAUACAUGCAAGUCGAACGAGAGCGACCGGUGCUUGCACUGGUCAAUCUAGUGGCGAACGGGUGAGUAACACGUGGGUAACCUGCCCAUCAGAGGGGGAUAACAUCCGGAAACGGAUGCUAAAACCGCAUAGGUCUUCGAGCCGCAUGGCUUGAAGAGGAAAAGAGGCGCAAGCUUCUGCUGAUGGAUGGACCCGCGGUGCAUUAGCUAGUUGGUGAGGUAACGGCUCACCAAGGCCGUGAUGCAUAGCCGACCUGAGAGGGUGAUCGGCCACAUUGGGACUGAGACACGGCCCAAACUCCUACGGGAGGCAGCAGUAGGGAAUCUUCCGCAAUGACGCAAGUCUGACGGAGCAACGCCGCGUGAGUGAAGAAGGUUUUCGGAUCGUAAAUCUCUGUUGUUAGAGAAGAACAAGUGCUAGAGUAACUGUUAGCGCCUUGACGGUAUCUAACCAGAAAGCCACGGCUAACUACGUG